AAUGAACGCUGGCGGCAUGCCUAACACAUGCAAGUCGAACGAAGGCUUCGGCCUUAGUGGCGCACGGGUGCGUAACGCGUGGGAAUCUGCCCUUGGGUUCGGAAUAACAGUUAGAAAUGACUGCUAAUACCGGAUGAUGUCGUAAGACCAAAGAUUUAUCGCCCAAGGAUGAGCCCGCGUAGGAUUAGCUAGUUGGUGGGGUAAAGGCCUACCAAGGCGACGAUCCUUAGCUGGUCUGAGAGGAUGAUCAGCCACACUGGGACUGAGACACGGCCCAGACUCCUACGGGAGGCAGCAGUGGGGAAUAUUGGACAAUGGGCGAAAGCCUGAUCCAGCAAUGCCGCGUGAGUGAUGAAGGCCUUAGAGUUGUAAAGCUCUUUUACCCGGGAUGAUAAUGACAGUACCGGGAGAAUAAGCUCCGGCUAACUUCGUG
rnacentral:rRNA from 1 species